rnacentral:rRNA from 1 species
AGUUUGAUUGCGGCUCAGAUUGAACGCUGGCGUGGAUGCUUUACACACAAGUCGAACGGCAGCACGGACUUCGGUCUGGUGGCGAGUGGCGAACGGGUGAGUAAUGUAUCGGAACGUGCCUAGUAGCGGGGGAUAACUACGUGAAAGCGUAGCUAAUACCGCAUACGCCCUUCGGGGGAAAGCGGGGACCUUCGGGCCUCGCACCAUUAGAGCGGCCGAUAUCGGAUUAGCUUAACCGCUGGUGGGGUAACGCUCACCAAGGCGACGAUCCGUGGCUGGUUUGAGAGGACGACCAGCCACACUGGGACUGAGACACGGCCCAGACUUACGGGAGGCAGCAGUGGGGAAUUUUGGACAAUGGGGAAACCCUGAUCCAGCCAUCCGCGUGCAUGAAAGGCCUUCGGGUUGUAAAGCACUUUUGGCAGGGAAAGAAACGGCACGGGAUAAUACCCCGUGCAACUGACGGUACUUGCAGAAUAAGCACCGGCUAACUACGUGCCAGCAGCCGCGGUAAUACGUAGGGUGCAAAGCGUUAACGGAAUUACUGGGCGUAAAGCGUGCGCAGGCGGUUCGGAAAGAAAGAUGUGAAAUCCCAGAGCUUAACUUCAACUGCAUUUUUAACUACCGAGCAGAGUGCACAGGGAGGUGGAAUUCCGCGUGUAGCAGGAAUGCGUAGAUAUGCGGAGGAAUUAGACGGCGAAGGCGAUUCUGGGAUAACACCGACGCUCAUGCACGAAAGCGUGGGGAGCAAACAGGAUUAGAUACCCCGGUAGUCCACGCCCUAAACGAUGUCAACUAGCUGUUGUGGGGCCUUCGGGCCUUUAUAGCGCAGCUUAUCAGCAAGAAGUUGACCGCCUGUGGGAGUACGGUCGCAAGAUUAAAACUCAAAGGAAUUGACGGGACUCGCACAAGCGGUGUGGAUACUGGAUUAAUUCGAUGCAACGCGAAAAAACUUACCUACCCGACAUGUUCAAAUCCCGAAGAGAUUUGGGAGUGCUCGCAAGAGAACCGGAACACAGGUGCUGCAUGGCUGUCGUCACCGUGUCGCAGAUGUUGGGUUAAGUCCCGCAACGAGCGCAACCUUUGCUGCCGGCUACGAAAGGGCACUCCAAUGAGACUGCCGGUGACAAACCGGAGGAAGGUGGGGAUGACGUCAAGUCCUCAUGGCCCUUAUGGGUAGGGCUUCGACGUCAUACAAUGGUCGGGACAGAGGGUCGCCAACCCGCGAGGGGGAGCCAAUCCUGAAGAAACCGACCAGUCCGGAUCGCAGUCUGCAACUCGACUGCGUGAAGUCGGAAUCGCUAGUAAUCGCGGAUCAGCAUGUCGCGGUGAAUACGUUCCCGGGUCUUGUACACACCGCCCGUCGCCAGCACCAUGGGAGUGGGUUUUACCAGAAGUAGUUAGCCUUAACCGUAAGGAGGGCGAUUACCACGGUAGGAUUCAUGAUCAGUAAGUCGAACAAGGUAA